GUAGAUUUCGCCUUUCGCUCCGACGUCGACGCCGCGCGUCGGUUCGUCGAGUAUGAGCAGGUCGCAAUCGGCGUGAAACCAUUUGGCAAGCGCCACUUUCUGCUGG
rnacentral:sRNA from 1 species